CACAUCCCCUGCCCUCACGGAGUCACGGCCACCGUGCCACGCGCAAGAGCUUCGGCCACCAGCAUGCUGCGCGUGCAUGCUCCAGCCUCCGGCACAUAUUGUCUAGGUGCCCAGCGUGGUAGGUCCUAGCAAGGUAGCAGCAAGGCUCAAGCCUGCAGCGAGACGGACGCUGCCUGUUCCGACGACGGAACUUUAUCGACGCUUCAGACUUGGACAUGAAAUUCAAGAGGCAUACUUACUAUUUGCAUCAGCAGCAGCAACGCAAGGAAUUCUUGGCUUUCACCGUCCUUGAGGAUGUCGUCACUUGCCUGUGCAGCAUGUUGUUGAUAGUGGAUUUUCUAAGCAGAAAGGCUAUAAUCCGGGUCUAAACUUCAGAGAGGAAAAACUGAAGCAGCUGGACUAAAGCAGUUGGUUACUUGCUUAUCACUAGAAUUCCAUUAUGCCCUUACAAAUGUGCUGCUGCUGCAUGGUUUAAAUUUGAGACAUAAGACCCUACAUGUGUAAUGAAUUGGUGGAUUGAUGUCAUGAUAUGUAUUUACUGUUGAGAUGUUAAUUCAUUUGGAUCUGAUGUUUUAUAUGUUGAAAAAUUACAUGGAUGCAAUUA